rnacentral:rRNA from 1 species
UACGGAGGAUCCGAGCGUUAUCCGGAUUUAUUGGGUUUAAAGGGUGCGCAGGCGGGAGAUUAAGUCGGCGGUGAAAUUUUGCAGCUCAACUGUAAAAGUGCCUUCGAUACUGGUUUCCUUGAGUGUGGAUGAAGUAGGCGGAAUUUGUGGUGUAGCGGUGAAAUGCUUAGAUAUCACGAGGAACUCCGAUUGCGCAGACAGCUUACUAAACCACUACUGACGCUCAGGCACGAAGGCGUGGGGAUCAAACAGGAUUAGAUACCCUGGUA